UACGUAGGGCGCAAGCGUUGUCCGGAGUUAUUGGGCGUAAAGAGCUCGUAGGUGGCUUGUCGCGUCUGCCGUGAAAGCCCAUGGCUUAACUGUGGGUCUGCGGUGGAUACGGGCAGGCUGGAGGCUGGUAGGGGCAAGCGGAAUUCCUGGUGUAGCGGUGAAAUGCGCAGAUAUCAGGAGGAACACCGGUGGCGAAGGCGGCUUGCUGGGCCAGUUCUGACGCUGAGGAGCGAAAGCGUGGGGAGCGAACAGG
rnacentral:rRNA from 1 species